GACGAACGCUGGCGGCGUGCUUAACACAUGCAAGUCGAACGGAAAGGCCCUGCUUUUGUGGGGUGCUCGAGUGGCGAACGGGUGAGUAACACGUGAGUAACCUGCCCUUGACUUUGGGAUAACUUCAGGAAACUGGGGCUAAUACCGGAUAGGAGCUCCUGCUGCAUGGUGGGGGUUGGAAAGUUUCGGCGGUUGGGGAUGGACUCGCGGCUUAUCAGCUUGUUGGUGGGGUAGUGGCUUACCAAGGCUUUGACGGGUAGCCGGCCUGAGAGGGUGACCGGCCACCUUGGGCCUGCGAUACGGCCCAGACGCCUACGGGAGGCAGCAGUGGGGAAUAUUGCACAAUGGGCGGAAGCCUGAUGCAGCAGCGCCGCGUGCGGGAUGACGGCCUUCGGGUUGUAAACCGCUUUCGCCUGUGACGAAGCGUGAGUGACGGUAAUGGGUAAAGAAGCACCGGCUAACUACGUG
rnacentral:rRNA from 1 species